UUCAAAAGAGGUACUUUGAUAAAUGUUUGGAACUAUCAUUUGGACGUACCUGUAAUUUUUCCAAACCCUAAGGAAGUAGACAUAAGGAACUCAAAUUGCAUAAGGUACUUGGGAACUUUUAAACAUAUAUGUAAAUAAUCUAAUUAGCAUUCCUCAGUUGUAAAUGGGAUACUUGAUAAACGCUCUGUUAUUCUAAUUUCUAAGUGAUUUGGUCAAAUUAUAAGUCCAUUUGAUAAUUUUGCCAAAUUUUAGGGGAGGUAAAUGUCAUUUAACUCAAUUAUUAACUAUGGCAACCGGGUCAAGAGUUAUUUAACCCAAUUAUUGACUCAAUGACAACCAUAAAGCUUGCUAGGUUAUCUUUGGUUGAGUUGAGCUGUUGAGGGAAUUUGUCUAAUUAAUAAGUGUUAGCUACCUACUUAAUACAUGGGAACAUAUAAGAGUUAUUUACAGAGAUCAUUGAAAAAAGGACGCCUUAGAAAAGCGAAAGUUGUUAAGAAUUGAAACUUAUUAGUAAUUAUGGAUUUGAAAUAUAUUAUAUAGCAAUGUAGAAGUUAUAGAUAAAUAUGGCACUGUUUUCUUUUUCCCAUCUAUUGGAUAUAUUAAAUUUGUUUGGAUAGAGUAUUAUUUGAAAUAAUUAUUGUAGCACUUUUUGUGAUGUGAUGUAAUGUAUGCGGGAUAAAAAAAUAAUUGGGAAUAUAAAAAAGUGAGUUAAGAAAUGUGUUUAUGGUGCAAGUGAAAUAUUAUUUGAGAUAUUUGUGCUAUCCAAACACUCCCAUU
rnacentral:lncRNA from 1 species